UUUUUUUUUUUGCAGUUCGCAGGCCUCUCACUGUUGUGGCCUCUCCCGUUGCGGAGCACAGGCUCCGGACGCGCAGGCUCAGCGGCCAUGGCUCACGGGCCUAGCCGCUCCGCUGCAUGUGGGAUCUUCCCGGACCGGGGCACGAACCCGUGUCCCCUGCAUCGGCAGGCGGACUCUCAACCACUGCGCCACCAGGGAAGCCCAAACUAUAAAACUUUUGAUGAAGAAUAUGCUGUUUUCAGUGAUGGUCCUCAGAUCUAGAGGAUCUACACCAAGGAAAUUCCAAACUUGAGGAGACUUAUCCCCACCUAGAACUUAUUUAGCUGAUGAGAUCCUGGUCCUCAAACCUGAACUGGAUGUCAAAAUAGACUGAGAUUUCUGGAGGCCUUGUGAGGAGAACUCCAUAAGACAAACUGUUUACAUCUUUUUUUUUUUUUUUUUUUU